UAUAUACUCCCUCCGUCCGAAAAUACUUGUCCUAAAAAUAAAUAUAAUGAAUGUAUCUAUAACUAAAAUAAAUCUAGAUACAUUCAUCUCUAAAAUAAGUAUUUCCGGACUGAGGGAGUAUUUG
rfam:Hordeum vulgare subsp. vulgare, WGS project CAJW01000000 data, contig: morex_contig_57913